CUACGGGCGGCAGCAGUGGGGAAUAUUGGACAAUGGGCGAAAGCCUGAUCCAGCCAUGCCGCGUGAGUGAUGAAGGCCCUAGGGUUGUAAAGCUCUUUCAGUGGUGAAGAUAAUGACGGUAACCACAGAAGAAGCCCCGGCUAACUUCGUGCCAGCAGCCGCGGUAAUACGAAGGGGGCUAGCGUUGUUCGGAUUUACUGGGCGUAAAGCGCACGUAGGCGGAUUGGUAAGUUAGGGGUGAAAUCCCGGAGCUCAACUCCGGAACUGCCUUUAAUACUGCCAGUCUUGAGUCCGAGAGAGGUGAGUGGAAUUCCUAGUGUAGAGGUGGAAUUCGUAGAUAUUAGGAAGAACACCAGUGGCGAAGGCGGCUCACUGGCUCGGUACUGACGCUGAGGUGCGAAAGCGUGGGGAGCAAACAGGAUUAGAUACCCGGGUAGUC
rnacentral:rRNA from 1 species